AGCAUGAACGGUUUAACAAAUAGUCUUAUGCUAUGGUAAGUAAGGUAAUUUCUAGUUUAAGUAAGAAUACUUAAAUAUUUGAGUGGGACGACAAGACCCUAAAAUCUUGAGUCUUAGGGUGAUUUAAGUAAUGUAAUGGGGAGGUACUUAAGUCCACUGGAUUUUAACUGGGGCAGUUUCUUUAUUUUAGUUAAGGUUUGUACACGCAGUUUUAUGGUUAACCGGUCCUUUAUAUGGGGAUAAGUGGAGUUAGUUACUUUAGGGGUAACAGCGCAAUAUACCCGGUAAGUUCUUAUUUAUGGGUGUGACUGCGACCUCGAUGUUGAAUUAAGAAGUUACUACGGAGCAGCAGAUGUAGAGGAGGGUUUGUUCAACCUUUAAAUUUUUACAUGAUUU
rnacentral:rRNA from 1 species